AUUGAACGCUGGCGGCAGGCCUAACACAUGCAAGUCGAGCGAGCGGCGGACGGGUGAGUAAUGUCUGGGGAACUGCCCGAUGGAGGGGGAUAACUACUGGAAACGGUAGCUAAUACCGCAUACCAUCAGAUGAACCCAUAUGGGAUUAGCUAGUAGGUGGGGUAAUGGCUCACCUAGGCGACGAUCUCUAGCUGGUCUGAGAGGAUGAUCAGCCACACUGGGACGGAGACACGGCCCAGACUCCUACGGGAGGCAGCAGUGGGGAAUAUUGCACAAUGGGCGCAAGCCUGAUGCAGCCAUGCCGCGUGUAUGAAGAAGGCCUUAGGGUUGUAAAGUACUUUCAGCGGGGAGGCGUUACCCGCAGAAGAAGCACCGGCUAACUCCGUGCCAGCAGCCGCGGUAAUUC
rnacentral:rRNA from 1 species